AGCAGGCAGAGUUUAGCAACAGAUUCCCUUAGGGUGUAAGUUCUAAGGUCAAUGUAAAGUUACACCAGUGACAGAUGAGUAGCGAUAAUAGGUUGCGUAGUGUUUAGGAAGAGGAGUUUUAUUUCCUGCUUCGAGUUCUUUGCAACAGAAGGUGUCUAGUCUGUGGUUGGUCAUUUGGAUGUGGUUUCUGGUUUAUCGGGUUUUGCUGAGUUGUUGGAUAGAGCUCCUUUGUCUUCAAAGGUUCCUUUUCCUUUCUGUGGCUAAGCUUGGUUUGUCUUGUGGUAGUAGUAAUCCUGGUGAUCAGGUUGUUGAUUUGGCUUUAUUCAUAUACAGUCUGGUAUUAUUAAUCAGUUAAAUCUCUAGCCAAUGCAUGUUGACUUAUGAUAAUUCAGUACAAGAGAAAUUGAAUAACAUUAACAACUGUAGUCCAGCCUAAAGUAUACUUUAUACUACAUAUCGGUAGACUACUAAAAUUGGCCAAUCCUGGAGGUUCAGUACAUUCUGACUUGAUGAUGAUUCAGUACCAGAAUAAUUGAACACGAAACGAGAAUUGAAUUGUAUGAUAUUCGAUACAAAAAUGUAAUUAAACAAGAACGAGAAUCAGAUUCGGUCCGACUUCAGCAUUGUUGGACUGUGUAGGCUUGCCAGCAUUGUAAUCCAGUAUUGUAUGUGUCCUCAUAUUAUCGUAUUGUAAAUUCUAAUAUAGCGGUCAUAUUUUGGUUCGGGAUUCAAUCAUUCAUUUGAUGGCUGAUGCGAGUUACCUCGCCUUAUUUAACUCAUUCUCAGGCGAGGUAAAUAGAGGAAAGUAGUGUUAUUCCCCUAGAGCAUCUUGGCUCUGAUUGGCUAGCUCGGACUGACGUAACUAAGCUUCUCCCCACCUAUACUAUGCUUUCGUCUUCCAGUAGUCAAGCGGGAAAAUGGUCUCAUAACUAUCUUGACAUUUUAACAUGGCUCAUAAUGGUAUCUUGUGUCAUAUAAAUCAGAAAUCAUAAGGAAUUUGUACAUUUCAUUACUUUCCAAGAAUAUUCCCUCGGGUGACGGAAUUAGGUAGUGUGACGUCAUCUGGAUACUUAACUUAAUGGAAUGAAGUCAUAUUGUUCAACUAAUAUGUCUCAUGGUAGCUUUUUUUCCCCUUUGUUAAUACAUUGCGUAAAUUUCGGUGAUUCCGUUCAUUUUCAUUCGUUUUCAUCGGUAUUACGAGCUUUACAUUAUUUUUUUAUUAGUGUGAAAACAACCGUAAAUGAGCUCUAUUAUGCUAGUAGUCUCUCUCUCUCUCUCUCUCUCUCUCUCUCUCUCUCUCUCUCUCUCUCUCUCUCUCUCUCUCUCUCAUUUUACCACGGCUGUGUUUGAAUUCAUAUAAAACUUUGGGAGUUUUAUCCAUGUUGCCAAUGCACGUAAUAUUACCUUAUCAAUUUCAGCUACUUGUGUAUAACAUACAUACGGUAAGUGUUUACUGUCGUACACUGAUUGAAUAAAAUAAACGGAUGUUGCUAUCAGAUUUGAUUGUAUUGGCAAACAGUGUAGUUUCUCGUUCAGUUGUUCAUGGCUGUACAGUUUUACAACUAGUAUAUCGUUAAGACAAUACUUAUUAACUUAGAAGAUGGUAUAAAGAUAUGGAGGUAGAGAAGUUAGAUGAUUGUAAUUUGGCCUCUCUGUCUGCCUUCCUUUUACUUUCCUUCUUUCAUAUUCUCCUUCAUCUUACUUUCCACCCUCUCCUAACACUUCAUUAAUAGUGCAACAGAGGUUUUUCCUCCUGUUACACCUUUCAACGUUAUACGUACUGUCAAUUUCAUUUCAGCACUGAAUGACCUCAUAGGUCCCAUUACUACUUUGGCCUAAAUUCUAUAUUCAACUCGACUCUCUCGCUGCCUAACUGCAUGCUGUUGCCUGCGCCAGCUGCGCGCGAGAUAUAGAAACUUAUUUUCAAAAUGUAGUAGUGCCAGCAUUAAUUACUAACCCCCAUCGUAAAGUCGAAUUAGUCGUAACAUCAAGAUUAUCGUGGGGAACAAUCUUCUUUAUCAGGUCAUUCUUCGGAGGUCACUUCGGUGUCUUCUCUCGCUCAUCCUGUUUCUUUGCCAUUAACAUAGCAGAGCAAAGAGUUUUCAUCAUUUUAAUCCUGAAAUUUUGGGGGUUUCGACGACUCCCUCUCUCUCUCUCUCUCUCUUCGGGGUUGAGGGAAGUAAUUUUGGCUGGGCUGUCGUAUUAACACCUUCCAUGGGUCCUGUAAUUUUCAGGCUGCUUGUCUGGAUGUUUCACAGGCUGUUGCAGAGUCUUCCGCAACUCCAUAAUUUCAUCCUUUACUGGGUUUGAGAUGUAAUGUGUCCUCUGUGGUUCUUGCAGGGGAUACGGCAGCUCAUGAUUCGUCUGCACCAUUGUUGACUGUAUCGGUACCGAUUGUGUCCUCAGCCCCUCCUUUCAAUAGCUUAGGUGGCAAUCUUCCUUCUUAGUUUCCCAUUUUUAUACUUUCUGGGUUUGAGACAUAUCAUGCCUACCGCGGUUAUUGCAGGGUGCUACGGCCAUUGGCAGUUCGUCUGCACCAUAGUUAGUACCUUUUGUUCCCUCAGCCUCCUUUCGUUAUGGUAGCUGGUAAUUUCCGUCUACGGCUCCCAUUGGUUCCACAGUUUGUAACCUGUUAUUAAAGGCACAAUGUUGGUGUUAGGUGCUCCGGUGGUUACUCUGAGUGUGACUUCUUUCUAUCUCAACCUUUUCCAGCGGCUUUUUCUGUUCCUCCUUCAAGGGGUUCAUGUGGGUUUGGCCUUGGUUCCAGGGUUUUCGGGAGUAUGGCCUUCCCUCACUUGAUCAAUGUAGCUUCAGCUCUGGACUCUCAUCUUGGUUUAGUGUUGGUGUAACAGGGGUUUGUGGAUCGCGUUUUGCAGCCUCUCCAUUCUUAGAGGGCAUUGCUUGCCCAUUUGUAGUCGGAAAGGUAUUAUGUCAUAGUCACUGGCUGGUGCAGGGUUUAGCAGUCGAGUGAGACUGGCUCAAGGUUAUAGUCAUCGUCUUUGGUUGGUACACGUUCGGCUCAACAGUGUGGUUGACUAUUUGGGGGUGGGUGUUCAUCACCAAGGUUUAUUCGACACAGGUGUUACAUUAUCGUCACUGGGUAGUGCGGGUAUGCCCAGUAGAGCGAGACUAGCUCAGUGUUAUGUCAGUCUUCAGUUGAUACACAAUUUGUGGAACUGGGAACGGUUGGCCAGGUGUUACGUUAUUGUGUCCGGGGGGGUUGCGGCCGUGCAGGUUGCUCAGUCGAGUACGACUAACUCAGAAGUCAUGAAUUUAUCAUCGUUUUGUUGAUAUGUUGUUGUGCAACCCAAUCGGUUGGCUCAGAUAUGAUGGGAUCCUGUAUGUCAGGUAUUGGUGUGAGCAACUAGGUGUAGUAAGUUCCAUGUUCUUUGGUGCUGCUUUUGUGGGUGUUCAGCGCUUCUUCUUUUCUUGUUCCAGUGUGGUUGGACAGGACUUAUAGAGCAUACCCUUUGAAGGGACAAUCAGUUGCUAGUUGUGGGUGUUUUUGUCUCCAGCUAAGGAAAGCAGUAGAAACGGAUGGUGGAUUUUGUCCGUUCUCUUUUUCCGCAGGCCAGGCUCCAGAGGAACCUCUCAGUUAGUUCAAGCAAUGUUUGAUACGUUGUAUUCAAGUAAUCCAGUAGUCUUAAAAUUCAAGUAAGCUGAUCUGGUUUUGGCCGAGUUGGGCAGCUUUUGGGGGAGAUGACUUUAGACUAGCAUCCCUUAUGGGGCCGAGAGGCUGGAUUCAACCUUGCUUCCUAACCGGAAGUGUUCUGUAUGAGGUAGCGGGUAACCCUUCUGCCAGUGUCCGAGUUCCACUUUAUGAAUCUGUUGAGGCUCUUCUCUCUUGGGUUCCUUCAUUGACUUGUGUGGUAGGGAUUGCAGAUUGCGAGGCUUGCAUUUGGAAGACACCUUUCACAGCCAUCAGAAGCCUUGUCCCACUCUUUGUGGAUGUUUUGAAAGUUGAUGUGUGUUUCUCUGAUCCUGGACUGUUUGACAACCUCAUCACUUCGGUUUCGAGGGGUUUUGCAUACCGGACUAACAUUUCAGCUGGCUGUACUACGUUCUUGUCAAGGAGAGGAGGGACUUGUUAAAUCAUCUGCCUUCUCACUGUCCGGACAUGCAUAAGGAGGUUCUGUUGAGGCUGCCUCUUGAGCUCAGCAGCAGUCGUUUAGAAAACAAGAAGUCUCCUUGAUGGGCAAUUUCGUGUCGUCACCAUCAUAAGUAGAGUAGCAGCAGCAUCGUUGGAUGAUUGUAUAGCAGAUGACUGACCACAAAUGCUGCUGUUUCAAGUUCGAGCUCUCAAAGUUUAUUUGUCACGUACUGAGGAACUUUUACCUUGUCCGAGAAUCUUAUUUGGUUUCCCCUAGGUAGCCAUCUCGUUCCAUUUCCCAAGUCCAAUCAGUUUCUUCUUGCGAGAGGUUUUUAGUCAAGCGUCAGUUGGUUCUUCUUCACUUUCGGAGCCUUCAAGUUGUGCUUUGCAUCCAAGGGCGCAAAGUAUCACAGAUGGCUACCCUGCAGCGUUGGUAAUGCUGACAGUUAAAAAAAACGUGGGUAAAUCUGUAGGGAUGUAGUUCGGGCUGGUCAGUGGCUAAUUCAGGUGUUCAGUAAGUAUUACAAUAUUAGUUUUAUUUUGAAAACUUCAUAUUACAUUUAAAAGUGUAAUGCAAUAUACAGGGACCAGAUGUUAACUACUGUUGGAAAAAAAUAGGAUGAGAGCAAGUAACUACAGACUGUAAGUAGAAUAAUGUAGAGGAGUAUAGUAAGCUUGAAGAAAUAGUAUAGAUGGUGCUGUGUUUAGAAUACUUUGGCUAGUAAAAGUUUUAUGUACUUAAGAUAUGUUGUACAACUGUGGUAUAUUAAAAUGAAAAAGGUUAAGCCAAGAAAUAUUAGGUACACUAGCUAGGUGAUAUUUAGCAUUUAUAAAAAAGCUUUUAACCUUUAUGUAAAGUGAUGACAUUUUAAUGUUAACUGUUAAUGGAUGGACUUCGAAUUGGCCAUCUCAGGACUGAGUUCUGCUCGUAACUUCAAGGGGCCAUGUAUUACGUCUCUGUUUCACAUGCCGUCUUUGUAAAUUUUCCCGUAAAUAUACCAAGGGGAUGCUGUUGGUUUUUGUUCUUGUCUUUUACGAUAGUAUGUCGGUUGUAAAUGUAAUUUUACAAAGAAAAGUGCAAAGAAAUAUUAGAAAAAACAUGUAAAAGUAAAAAAAGAAGUUACUGAAUCUUCGUUCUCGGUAAAUUUACGUAAAUAGUUUUAAACAAUUAUGCUAAGAUUUUGUUACUGAUGUUAUUUCUUAUCUGUUUUGAUAUUGCAUGAACAGAAAUUAUAAUUUUACAAAAUAAAAAAAAAUUAUUUAUUAGGAAAAACAUAAGUUAGUAAAAUUUAUGAAGUCUUGUAAAAGUGGCCCCACAAGGGGUUGUAAAUAGUCCUUUUCAACUUCUCGUGGAAGGUAGGGAAAAUUUGAAACUAAGUAAAUUAUACCUGUGCUUGCCAUUAAUUCAUUACACUUUUAAAACUCAUCAUCUUAACAAAUGGCAGGUAUUGUGGGGUAGCAAGGUUGACAGUAAUAUUAAAACAUUAGGCCAACAGCUGAAUGGCAAGAGUUGUUAUUACUGAAAAAAACACCAAAUUAAAAUUGCUGUAUAUAAUCCUUUGUUUGAAUUUGCCACGUCAUUUUGUGGUUAUUUGAUGAAUAACCCACAUGAUCCUGAAUGCAGAGAAACACUUAUAACCAAAUCUUAAUGGACUAUUAAAUUUUCAGCCAGCAGUAUAAUAUCAAGUAUGAACUCGGAAACGAGACCUCUGAAAGUUGUGUCAGUCUUCAACAAUUUCAGUUUACCUCAUUAUAUUUUUAAGGUAUGGCAGUAUAUUGAAUAAGAUUUAUUAAAUACAUUAAGCACAAACCCUAUGGGCCAUCCAUAUAAAAGUUGAGCAGUGCUAUGAAGAAGAAUGAUUAUUUUACUUUUAUGUAAUAAAGCUUUAUUUUUUUAAGUUCUGUUUGAAUAACCAUGACAGUCCUAGUGAAAAGAAUGCAAUCCUUAGUAGUGAAAAAUAUUUUGAGAAUGAGUUUUCUUUUACAGGCAGCAGAGCUUUGAUACAAGUAGUACACCUUCAAUAACUUCUGGCAAUCUUCAGUAUUAUUAAUAGGGGUUAGUUUUUCCAGACCUCUGAGUCUACUUGAGACUCAGAGGUCUGGAAAAACUAACUCCUAUUAAUAAUAAUUCAGUAUUUCUAAGUUAUUUGAAGUUGGAAUUUAUUUGAAAGAUAUUUUGAUUUUUAAUAAAUCUUGGACUGUCAUGAGAAGUUGAGACUCAGAUUAUUGGUGUAAUUAAGAUUUCAAAAUAUAAGAAAUAUAUGGGCAUAAACUUUUAUUAAGCCUAGUGUAGAUACCUUAAGCCAAUUUUUCAUGUAUAAAGCAAAGUUUACUAGCCUACUAUAUUGCGUGUGCUGAUAUUUUGCCAUUUUUCUUUUUAAUAGUUUAGAUUCAUUUUGCAAACAUUAUUUUUUAUUUUUUCCUCUUGAAA